CCUGAUGGAUGGAGAGCCAGUGAGCAGUGGUGAGCUCUAAUGGAUCUACUGCAAAUCUUCGCUUUGUGGUUGUAACCUUAAGAGCCUACUGACUGGCACAGGAACAACUCACUCAGAGCAAAAACAGAGUGUGAACUUGAAACCUGUCUUCAUCUCCCUAUGUUCUUACCUUCAUGAAAAUGUGAGUUAGGUGACUCCUCUUUCAGAGAGGAGCAAAUUUUUCAAAAUUAUCACCCAAUUUCUGUGAAGUAUUGACAGCCACUGGGGCAGUUACAACGGAAGAGACAAUGUGCUGCCUCCUCACCUAUCCCGCUGUAACUCACUCCUGUGCCACAACCCAAAAGGCAGACACCCAGAUGGGCUUUCACAUAAGUUCUGCACCUCCACCACUUAACUGUGGGUAGGAGCCAGAAGAACUGCCUGAGGAAGUAGGCCGGACUUGUUGAAAGAGGGGUUGUAUGUCCCCACCUUCAUCAUGAUUGCUCUGCUGCUGAGUGCUCACCCACACAAGACGUUGGACGGCCUCAUGGGUCACAGCUGCAGCAAGAGGCUUGAGACCAGAAAAAGGAUGAAACCAAACCUUCCUCUGUGGGACAGAGCUGGGAUAAACUAUAUAUUUGGUUUCCAGACCUCCAUGCCAGAUUUUACAGUUCAGUUAUUACCCUUGAUUAAGCCCCGUCCUGGAGGACCUCACUGUGCAGCUUUUGGCUGUGGCAAAUCCAUGGGGCUAUCAACAUCCAUCCCAGAUCAUGGGGAGCCAAAAAGAUAAUUAGAAAAGGGGAGAAAAAGAAACAUAAAUAUUUUCUAGGCUGGUUGCCAUGCUUUUAGCCCAGGGAGAAAAAAUGUACAGCCAAGUCCUGAACCCCAGUAAGCAGGGAUUGCUAUUGGAAAGUGUGAUGCAGCCUUUAGCACUGCAACAUAAAUCAGGCUGCUCUCAUUACGUAAUCAGAUUUUCAAAUAUAUGAUGUACAAGGCCCCUGCCAUUGCAAACCCGCUAGCAUUUUAUGUCUCCACAGGUGUCACUGGAGCUACAUAACCAGACCCAUGGGUUAAACCCCCAUUUCCUGCUCAUAAAGUUGUGUGUUUUAGCUAAGGUGCUAUCCUGAUUCUGUAAAUACAGACAGUCACCCUAAGAUAGAUCUAGGAAGAGAGUAUGGACCAUCCAACCUGAGCCUGCCUACUCUGCCAGGAGAUGCCCAUGCUCCCUAUGGGAUGCCUGCAGAGACAGGGACAUCUAAAAAAGGGACUUGUGGCAGCCAGAAAGUUAAGCAUCUCCUCCUCUUCCUCUCAUGCAGAUGACUCUAUCUGGCAUUCAACAGCUCUUCUAACAAACAUGCAGAGCUCAGUUUCCUGAUGAGUAGUGCCUCUCUUCUUUAAAAUAUGGCACAUCUUCAGCUGGGCUUCAACGGCUGGUUCCAACACUAGGCCCUCAAAUGUAUAUUUACAUAUCGAACUAAGUAAAAUAUAAGCCCUAGUCUAAGAAAAAAACUUUGCUUGUGAUGCAUUGAAUGAUCCUGUGAAAGACUGAGCCUCCAGUGCUCCCAGGAGCUGAAAGAAGAGUUGAAGACGAAUAACACUUUACAGGAUUAUGUUCCUAUUUACAUGGUGGACAGUUGAUGUCUCCAAGUUACUUAUGCAUCUUAUUUUUAAAACAAAGUUCUGUUGUUGUUUUAAAUUAUGUAAAUAUCUUGGGAAGUGAAGCAUUUUUUUUUUUUCUUCCAGCAUCCUCACUCAUUCCAGCACCGUGAUGCUCACUGGGGAGCAGGAGGAUUGGAUGUCAGUGAGCUGGCAACUUUCCACCAUUAGCAAAUGUUUUCUAAUAUGUCCUUCAACCAGCUCUUCACAUCUGAGUUCUAACCUGCCUCAUUUCUGUCUGCAAGAACCUGAGUCUCACCAUAGGGGUGCCACACUGAGGCUUUAUAUCCAAAUGCUGCAGUGCCACAGACCUCAGUACAACGCCUGUACCUUUGCUGGGAGAACAAAAAGGAAAGUCUGGAAUCAUCGUAUUUUAUCAGUCUAGUUCUGUAUCUAGUACCUGUUUGUUUCUUUUUCCUUCAAAGCGAGUUGGUUCAGUAAUGUGGUGUCUCUACCACUGCAGUCUUUCCUGUCUGGUGGGAAGGAGAAUAGAGCUCAAGUGAAGGCAGCCAAAGCUGGACAAGCCAUGCCACAGCUUGUGUCUGUCACAAGGCUGAGCUUCUUAAACAGUUUUGAAAUAGCUCUGAGUUUCCCCUUAUCCCUGACACCUGCUUUUGGGAUCUCCAUUUACUAGAAAUUAUAGGGCAGAGGCAGAAAGCAUCCUUACCCUGAGUGUGACAAGAGAUUAUUGACUUGCACUUAAUAAAUCUGCCCACUCUUCACAAACGCUUCUCAGCUCCUUGGUUCCAAAGGGGAAUGGGUUAAAUGACUGCUUGUGAUUGUCCUACAGCUGAUGAGAUGACCCUUAUGAAUUUCAUGUCAGUAUUGACAAGGUGUCAUUUAAAAUAAACAAACAUGAAGCUACAAGAGUUGACAGUUGAGCCCUGAGACUACAUUCUUUGCUUUUUGAUGGUAGGGAGCCUUCGUGCUCUGGCAAAAAGUUGAAGCGUGGAAUUCCUGCAGAAUUACGUAUUAAAUCUGCAGGAAUACAACAAAGAGAGGUCGCCAUGAAGGGUGUUAUUUUACUGAAUACCAAAGGAAUUAAGAACAAUCAGCCAAUCGGGCUAAAGCUUUGUCAUUUAGAUAAAUAUUUAUAAGAGAUCUUUUUUUUUUUUUCAUCCUCUUGCAGUUCUGUUUGCAGCAGUUGGGCAGUUGUGCACAAAAAUUUGUGCUCAGACUUUUGCAAGUGAACAAACACAGAGUUUGAGCUGAAUUCUGGUCUCAUUUAUGCUGCUCAGUGUUAGCAAGGAUAGAAAUGACCUCUGAAUUAGGCCCUUUAUUUCAUAAUAUACGGAUGGACUCAGGUUGCAGACUUUCCAUGUAAAUUUGUUUUCAGAUUGUGGUGUGGAUCUACUGAGAGGAAGAAUAGAUUAAGAAAGCUGGUCUGGACUCUCCAUACAGAUUGGAUUCAGAUCAAUUUACUGUACUGUUGGAUUAACUUUUUUGAAAGUGAGCGACUGGAGCUGGUUUUUGUCUCUGGCACAUUUCUCAUCUAAAAUGCAUUUGUUUUCAAGAAACUGUCUUUGUAAGUCAAACCCCGGAGAAAAUGUUGAAUUGUGCCUGUAUUAGUCUAUGCAAGAUAUUUAUGUACAUGCUAGAAGCAUAUAAACCAAUUACGUAAA